rnacentral:rRNA from 1 species
UACGGAGGGGGCUAGCGUUGUUCGGAAUUACUGGGCGUAAAGCGCACGUAGGCGGCUUUGCAAGUCAGAGGUGAAAGCCCGGGGCUCGACCCCGGAAUAGCCUUUGAGACUGCAUCGCUAGAAUUGUGGAGAGGUAAGUGGAAUUCCGAGUGUAGAGGUGAAAUUCGUAGAUAUUAGGAAGAACACCAGUGGCGAAGGCGGCUCACUGGCCCGGAACUGACGCUGAGGUACGAAAGCGUGGGGAGCAAACAGG